rnacentral:rRNA from 1 species
CUAUGCAUGCAAGUCGUACGCACGCGCUUCGGCGCGUGAGUGGCGCACGGCUGAGUAACACGUGGGAACCCGCCCUCCGGUGGGGGAUAACGCGACGAAAGUCGCGCUAAUCCCGCAUACGUCCGCAAGGGGAAAGCGCUUCGGCGCGCCGGAGGAGGGGCCUGCGGCCCAUCAGGUGGUUGGUGGGGUAACGGCCUACCAAGCCGAUGACGGGUAGCUGGUCUGGGAGGAUGACCAGCCAGACUGGGACUGAGACACGGCCCAGACUCCUACGGGAGGCAGCAGCAAGGAAUUUUCGGCAAUGGGCGCAAGCCUGACCGAGCAACGCCGCGUGCGGGAUGACGGCCUUCGGGUUGUAAACCGCUUUUCGGGGGGACGACUACGACGGUACCCCCGGAAGAAGCCCCGGCUAACUCUGUGCCAGCAGCCGCGGUAAGACAGAGGGGGCGAGCGUUGUCCGGAGUUACUGGGCGUAAAGCGCGCGCAGGCGGUGGUCUCAGUGUCGUGUGAAAGCCCCCGGCUCAACCGGGGGAGGUCAUGGCAAACUAGAC